rnacentral:rRNA from 1 species
AGCUCCAGUAGUGUAUAUCAAAAUUGUUGCGAUUAAAACGCUCGUAGUUGGAUUACAAAAGUUUCCUGCGGCGUAAAAACACUCGAUGUUUAGACGUCGUGAAACUUUUUUAUCGCGAGAGCCAUAUGUGGGAUUAAUUUCUUGUGUAUGGUCACUUGCGGGGCGUGCCUUGAAUAAAGCACAGUGCUCAAAGCAGGCGUACGCUCGAAUGUAUAGCAUGGAACGAAUAUUAGACCAUGUCGGAUGUUGGUUGCUGACAGUGGUCCUGAUUAAAAGGGACAUUUGAGGGCGUUAGUACUUGGUGGCGAGAGGUGAAAUUCUUAGACCCAUCAAAGACUCACAAAUGCGAAAGCAUUCGCCAAGAGUGUUUUCA